rnacentral:rRNA from 1 species
ACUCCUACGGGAGGCAGCAGUGGGGAAUCUUGGACAAUGGGCGCAAGCCUGAUCCAGCCAUGCCGCGUGAGUGAUGAAGGCCUUAGGGUCGUAAAGCUCUUUCGCCAGGGAUGAUAAUGACAGUACCUGGUAAAGAAACCCCGGCUAACUCCGUGCCAGCAGCCGCGGUAAUACGGAGGGGGUUAGCGUUGUUCGGAAUUACUGGGGCGUAAAGCGCGCGUAGGCGGAUUAGUCAGUCAGAGGUGAAAUCCCAGGGGCUCAACCCUGGAACUGCCUUUGAUACUGCUAGUCUUGAGUUCGAGAGAGGUGAGUGGAAUUCCGAGUGUAGAGGUGAAAUUCGUAGAUAUUCGGAGGAACACCAGUGGCGAAGGCGGCUCACUGGCUCGAUACUGACGCUGAGGUGCGAAAGUGUGGGGAGCAAACAGGAUUAGAUACCCUGGUAGGAUAGCG